rnacentral:rRNA from 1 species
UACGUAGGGGGCAAGUGUUGUCCGGAAUCAUUGGGCGUAAAGCGCGUGUAGGCGGUCCGGUAAGUCCGCUGUGAAAGUCGGGGGCUCAACCCUCGGAUGCCGGUGGAUACUGUCGGGCUUGAGUACGGAAGAGGCGAGUGGAAUUCCUGGUGUAGCGGUGAAAUGCGCAGAUAUCAGGAGGAACACCAAUUGCGAAGGCAGCUCGCUGGGACGUUACUGACGCUGAGACGCGAAAGCGUGGGGAGCGAACGGG